rnacentral:rRNA from 1 species
UACAGAGGUCCCAAGCGUUGUCCGGAUUUAUUGGGCGUAAAGAGCGCGUAGGCGGCCGAGUAAGUCCGACGUGAAAUCUGGAGGCUCAACCUCCAGCGGUCGUUGGAAACUACUCGGCUAGAGUCCGGAAGAGGAGAGUGGAAUUCCUGGUGUAGCGGUGAAAUGCGCAGAUAUCAGGAAGAACACCGAUGGCGAAAGCAGCUCUCUGGGACGGUACUGACGCUGAGGCGCGAAAGCGUGGGGAGCGAACAGG